rnacentral:rRNA from 1 species
CGGCGGACGGGUGAGUAACGCGUGGGUAACCUGCCUCAUACAGGGGGAUAACAGUUAGAAAUGACUGCUAAUACCGCAUAAGCGCACAGUACCGCAUGGUACGGUGUGAAAAACUCCGGUGGUAUGAGAUGGACCCGCGUCUGAUUAGGUAGUUGGUGGGGUAACGGCCUACCAAGCCGACGAUCAGUAGCCGACCUGAGAGGGUGACCGGCCACAUUGGGACUGAGACACGGCCCAA